AGAGCAUAAAAUAGCCAAACAUAUUACAUGAAUAACUAUUACAGUCAUAUAUGGUCGCAAAAAACAAUGGAACAGUUUAAUCUCCACUGUUUGGUACAUUGUUGAUACCCUACUUGUCGGGCCAACAUGUCUUAAUUGGUCCCUCUUCAGUUUCUCAUGUGCUUAUCUUCUUGCUGCCUUAUCUACCAUACUUGUAAUCCUUACAACAAAAUUCAUUAACCACAUCAACAGUUAGUUAGAUGAGUAUUUUCGUAGACAAAUGUUACUCGAUAAUAUUUUAGUUGCAGGGAUCGAAUCCGAACAUUCUUCAUAAUACUUCUUCAGUAUCUCAAUUCAUAACAUUAGCUACACCUUCAAAGUUGUUAGAUAAGAUAACACUAGUGAUGUUUUAAAUUUGAACCAAAUUCCUUUAAAAUUUAACAAUCACAUGAUCUUAUCUGACUCUGAGAUAUUAGUAAAGUACACUUGAAUAUUAAGCUUAUGCAAAAACAUUUCUAUAAAAAAAGUUUAUACAAAUUAAAACAAAAAUUCAUCAACUAGCCCCUCCACAUUUGAUUCCAAAAAGAACUUUCUUAAACCUACCUUUUUUAUUUGUGUAGGAGACAAAAAAAAAGAGUUAAAGGAGAGAGGGAAACAAAUAUUUGCACCACUUCUCUCUUUAUUUAUACUUUUAUUACCAUACAAUUAUUGGUCGACUAAAUUGCAGUUGCGGUUAUGCUGCAAAUUUUUUUAUUAUGGAAAAUUGCGGUUGAAAUUACAGUUG
rnacentral:lncRNA from 1 species